GAGAGAGUAGUGUCGUGGUUUGAGCAUUGGACUAUGGCUCUGGAGACCAAGGUUCAAAUCCUUGCUCAGACU